AGUGAACGCUGGCGGUAGGCCUAACACAUGCAAGUCGAACGGCAGCACAGUAAGAGCUUGCUCUUACGGGUGGCGAGUGGCGGACGGGUGAGGAAUACAUCGGAAUCUACUUUUUCGUGGGGGAUAACGUAGGGAAACUUACGCUAAUACCGCAUACGACCUACGGGUGAAAGCAGGGGAUCUUCGGACCUUGCGCGAUUGAAUGAGCCGAUGUCGGAUUAGCUAGUUGGCGGGGUAAAGGCCCACCAAGGCGACGAUCCGUAGCUGGUCUGAGAGGAUGAUCAGACACACUGGAACUGAGACACGGUCCAGACUCCUACGGGAGGCAGCAGUGGGGAAUAUUGGACAAUGGGCGCAAGCCUGAUCCAGCCAUACCGCGUGGGUGAAGAAGGCCUGCGGGUUGUAAAGCCCUUUUGUUGGGAAAGAAAAGCAGCAGGUUAAUACCCCGCUGUUCUGACGGUACCCAAAGAAUAAGCACCGGCUAACCUCGU
rnacentral:rRNA from 1 species